rnacentral:tRNA from 1 species
UCGGCGGGUACCGCACCCGGCUGACCGGCCUCGCCCGCAGCGAGGCCGAGGCGCUGUUCCUCUCGGGGCUGCCGGG